GACGAACGCUGGCGGCGUGCCUAAUACAUGCAAGUAGAACGCACAGUUUAUACCGUAGCUUGCUACACCAUAGACUGUGAGUUGCGAACGGGUGAGUAACGCGUAGGUAACCUGCCUGGUAGCGGGGGAUAACUAUUGGAAACGAUAGCUAAUACCGCAUAAUAUUGAUUAUUGCAUGAUAAUUGAUUGAAAGAUGCUAUUGCAUCACUACCAGAUGGACCUGCGUUGUAUUAGCUAGUAGGUGAGGUAACGGCUCACCUAGGCGACGAUACAUAGCCGACCUGAGAGGGGGAUCGGCCACACUGGGACUGAGACACGGCCCAGACUCCUACGGGAGGCAGCAGUAGGGAAUCUUCGGCAAUGGACGAAAGUCUGACCGAGCAACGCCGCGUGAGUGAAGAAGGUUGUCGGAUCGUAAAGCUCUGUUGUAAGAGAAGAACGGGUGUGAGAGUGGAAAGUUCACACUGUGACGGUAUCUUACCAGAAAGGGACGGCUAACUACGUG
rnacentral:rRNA from 1 species